GUGAACGCUGGCGGUAGGCCUAACACAUGCAAGUCGAACGGCAGCACAGUAAGAGCUUGCUCUUACGGGUGGCGAGUGGCGGACGGGUGAGGAAUACAUCGGAAUCUACUUUUUCGUGGGGGAUAACGUAGGGAAACUUACGCUAAUACCGCAUACGACCUACGGGUGAAAGCAGGGGAUCUUCGGACCUUGCGCGAUUGAAUGAGCCGAUGUCGGAUUAGCUAGUUGGCGGGGUAAAGGCCCACCAAGGCGACGAUCCGUAGCUGGUCUGAGAGGAUGAUCAGCCACACUGGAACUGAGACACGGUCCAGACUCCUACGGGAGGCAGCAGUGGGGAAUAUUGGACAAUGGGCGCAAGCCUGAUCCAGCCAUACCGCGUGGGUGAAGAAGGCCUUCGGGUUGUAAAGCCCUUUUGUUGGGAAAGAAAAACAGCAGGUUAAUACCCCGCUGUUCUGACGGUACCCAAAGAAUAAGCACCGGCUAACUUCGUG
rnacentral:rRNA from 1 species